UGAAUACGAGAUGCUACGGCGUCGAAGCAGUGUAUGUCAGACUUCCAAGAAAGGCUCGCAAUGUCAUAAAUAAAGAAUGCCUGUACCAUAACCGACACAGGUGGGUAGGUAGAGUAUACUAAGGGGCGCGAGAUAACUCUCUCUAAGGAACUCGGCAAAAUAACUCCGUAACUUCGGGAGAAGGAGUGCCUUCUUUAAGAAGGUUGCAAUAACAAGAUCCAAGCAACUGUUUAUCAAAAACACAGGUCUCCGCUAAGUCGUAAGACGAUGUAUGGGGGCUGACGCCUGCCCAGUGCCAGAAGGUUAAAGAAGUUGGUUAGCUUUUGCGAAGCUGAUGACUGAAGCCCUGGUGAACGGCGGCCGUAACGAUAACGGUCCUAAGGUAGCGAAAUUCCUUGUCGGGUAAGUUCCGACCCGCACGAAAGGCGUAAUGAUUUGGAUACUGUCUCGGAGAGGGACUCGGUGAAAUAGACUUGUCUGUGAAGAUGCGGACUACCUGCACCAGGACAGAAAGACCCUAUGAAGCUUUACUGUAACUUGAAAUUGAAAUUGGACUUUAUUUGCGCAGUAUAGGUGGAAGGCGUUGAAAGUAAUCUUGCGGGAUUAGUGGAGCCAUCAGUGAGAUACCACUCCUAUAAUGUUAGAUUUCUAACUUUGGAUCAUGAUCUGGUCAAAGAACAGUUUCAGGCGGGCAGUUUGACUGGGGCGGUCGCCUCCCAAAUGGUAACGGAGGCGUACAAAGGUUUCCUCUGAACGGGUAGAAAUCGUAUCUAGAGUGUAAAGGCAUAAGGAAGCUUGACUGUGAGACCUACAAGUCGAGCAGGGACGAAAGUCGGUCUUAGUGAUCUGACGGUGCUGAGUGGAAAGGCCGUCACUCAACGGAUAAAAGUUACUCUAGGAUAACAGGCUGAUCUCCCCCAAGAGUUCACAUCGACGGGGAGGUUUGGCACCUCGAUGUCGGCUCACCGCAUCCUGGGGCGGUAGUACGUCCCAAGGGUUGGGCUGUUCGCCCAUGAAAGCGGUACGCGAGCUGGGUUCAGAACGUCGUGAGACAGUUCGGUCCAUAUCCGGUGUAGGCGUUAGAAUAUUGAGAGGAGCCUUCUUUAGUACGAGAGGACCGAGAAGGACAUACCUCUGGUGUACCAGUUAUCGUGCCAACGGUAAACGCUGGGUAGCUAUGUAUGGAGAGGAUAACCGCUGAAAGCAUCUAAGUGGGAAGCCCACCUCAAGAUGAUUGCUCUCACAGGGUUAACCUGGUAAGGUCACGGGAAGACCACCCGUUGAUAGGCACUCGGUGGAAGUCCAGCAAUGGAUGAAGCCAAGGUGUACUAACAGACCGAGGGC
rnacentral:rRNA from 1 species